AUGAAGAAAUUAAGGCCCACGGAGGGGAGAGGAGUUCGUGAAUGGAGGGAAACGGGUAACUAUAUUUUUCCUCUAGCAGCUCCUCAGCUGAGGGAAAGUCCUGCCUGUGGGAAGGAAUCAAGGAAGAGAUAUUGGGAAACUGAGGCCAGAGCACUGUUAGGACUCACCAGGACAAGGGCCCUGGGUUCCCGUGAGCCUGUGUUCCUGCUCCCCCGCCUACUUUCUGUUCCAGCUCUUUCUCCAAUCUCCUUUCCUUUGCCUGUAGACCUCAGCUCUGCUCUCAGGACAUCCCAGAUAGCAGCCCUGAUGCUCAGAACAGACUUUUCUCCCCAGCGCACAUCCGCUUUUGCACCUCAAGAAGAUCCAGGGAUAAAGAAGGUCAUUUCUGAGCAUCUCUGAGUCAACCCCACACCUCUGCAUGGGCAGCCUAACAGCAGUGUGGGGACUAGAGCCCCACCUCUAGGGACCUCUGCGGUGGAAUAGAGGGGCUGGGCUCCCUGCGGGCUCUGCCCCUCAGGGUCUGUCCACACCAGCCCACUUCCUCUUCUGGGAGAGGUCAGACAGCCCCUGGGAAGUCUCCAGACCUUCUUACGCUGUGAGAAGAUGGACUUUCCUCCUCUGGUUCUCCCCUUUUACUGGACAUGCAGGCCCAAUGUAGGAAGGCUGGGGCCUAUCACUCUUCAACAGCCCUCAGGUGUCAUCAGCGCAGGACCAGGAUUCAUUCAGCGUCUAUUUACUGAGAGCUCUGUAAUAAGAAUGUGACAAAUAAUAACUGGACACAUAUCAAAUGCAUGCCUCAUCUUACAAAGUACUCUUGCAAUUAGUGUUUUGAGGGAUCCUAGUGACGAUGCUGUAAAGUAGGGAGGCCUUAGGUGGAGAAGCUGAGGCCCAGGGAUCUGAAGUGGCAGAACCAGGAAUCACACCACAGGGUCUUCCCAUAUCCUCCUGCUACUUUAGUCCUGCCCCAUGCACAUGCACUGAGCAGGAGGCGGGCUUCCAGCCACAUGCUCGACUGUCACAGGACACCAGCAGGGAGGUAUUUCCCAUGGGACAGGGAGCAGAGAACAGUAUUUCCCAUGGGCAGUGGUGGAUGUAGGAGGCUGGGAGACCAGGACUUGUGGAUUUAGGGUAGUGGCAUGCCAGAGCCACACCUGUCUGCAAGGGACUGGAGACAGGCUGAGGAGCAGGGAGGGUACGUGGAGCACUGGUGCUGUGCCUCCUUUUACCAUAGCUGUUUGCUUAGACAAUACUCAGCUGUCCUGCUGAGCUCAGGCUGGCACCAGCGGGAUUGGGUCUGUUGCCUGGGGAUUGAGGCUGGCUACAGGACCCGCUCCUCCAGUUCUGGCCAAGGACCAGUGGCCUUGGCCAUUACUGGCCUCCUCGCUGAUGCCAGGGUUGAACAAGGCCUUUCCAGUCUGCCCAUUGUAUCUGGGGCCUGCCCUUUCUCCUCAACCCCGUCUGACCGUCUCUGGGGGCCCCUGCACCCACCUUCAUGACUCCUGGCCAACCCUCCCAGCAGCUCUUGCAGCAUAUGCAACUUCUGCUGCUGGUGAGCUCAGGCAGCUGGACUCAUGGGCAGGCAAGAACACGGUGCCCUGCACUGGAGGGCAGGCACAGGCUGUGCCAACUGCACCCACCUCUCCCAGACGUAGGCCUGGCAGGGAGGCCUGUGAUGUAGGCAAGGACUCUCUGGAAAGAGUGAUGAGGAGGCCCAGCCUGCUGAGCACUCCAAACCCUUCUUCUACUCUCCUGUCCUUUCACUGAGAGGAGAUCUAAAGAAUAAAGUUUGGUUGGGUGCCAUGGCUCAUGCUUGUAAUCCCAGCACUUUAGGAGGCCAAGGCGGGCGGAUCACCUGAGGUUGGGAGUUCAAGGCCAGCCUCAUCAACAUGGAGAAACCCCGUCUCUACUAAAAAUACAAAAUUAACCAGGCAUGGUGGCACUUGCCUGUAAUCCCAGCUACUCAAGAGGCUGAGGCAGGAGAAUCACUUGAACCCAGGAGGCGGAGGUUGCAGUGAGCUGAGAUCACGCCAUUGCCCGCCAGCCUAGGCAACAAGAGCGAAACUCCACCUCAAAAAAAAAAAAAAGGAAUAAAGUUUAACUCCUGACUCUGCCCCAACCCGGAACCAAUUCCUAGAACCACCUGAAUCACUUUUUUCUUUUUCUUUUUUUUUUUUGAGACAGAGUUUCACUCUGUGCCCAAGCUGGAGUGCAGUGGCAUGAUCUCAGCUCACUACAGCCUCUGCCUCCCGAGUUCAAGCGAUUCUCAUGCCUCAGCCUCCCAAGUAGCUGGGAUUAUAGGCACCCACCACCACGCUAAUUUUUGUAUUUUUAGUAGAGACUGGGUUUCACCCUGUUGGCCAGGCUGGUCUAGAACUCCUGACCUCAGGUCAUUGGCCUGCCUCGGCCACCCAAAAUGCUGGGAUUAUAGGCAUAAGCCACCACACCCGGCUCAUUUGAAUCACUUUUUUUUCUUUUUUUUUUUUUGAGAUGGAGUUUCGCUCUAAUUGCCCACGCUGGAGUGCAAUGGCACGAUCUUGGCUCACCACAACCUCUGCCUCCCGAGUUAAAGCAAUUCUUCUGCCUCAGCCUCCUGAGUAGCUGGGAUUACGGGCAUGCACCACCAUGCCCAGCAAUUUUAUAUUUUUAGUAGAGACAAGGUUUCUCCAUGUUGGUUAGGCUGGUCUCAAACUCCCAGCCUCAGGUGAUCUGCCAGCCUCGGCCUCCCAAAGUGCUGGGAUUAC
rnacentral:lncRNA from 1 species